rnacentral:rRNA from 1 species
AUCUUCCACAAUGGACGGAAGUCUGAUGGAGCAACGCCUCGUGAGCGAAGAAGGUUUUCGGAACGUAAAGCUCUGGUGUAAGGGAAGAACACGUACAGGAGACACUGCCCGUACCUUGACGGUACCUUAUCAGAAAGCCACGGCUAACUAUGUGCCAGCAGCCGCCGUAAUACGUAGGUGGCAUGCGUUGUCCGGAAUUAUUGGGCGUAAAGCGCGUGCAGGCGGUCCUUUAAGUCUGAUGUGAAAGCCCACGGCUCAACCGUGGAGGGUCAUUGGAAACUGGAGGACUUGAGUACAGAAGAGGAAAGCGGAAUUCCACGUGUAGCGGUGAAAUGCGUAGAGAUGUGGAGGAACACCAGUGGCGAAGGCGGCUUUCUGGUCUGUAACUGACGCUGAGGCGCGAAAGCGUGGGGAGCAAACAG